GACGAACGCUGGCGGCGUGCUUAACACAUGCAAGUCGAACGGAAAGGCCCUGCUUGCAGGGUGCUCGAGUGGCGAACGGGUGAGUAACACGUGGGUGAUCUGCCCCUUACUUUGGGAUAAGCCUGGGAAACUGGGUCUAAUACUGGAUAGGACCAUGCUGUAGGUGGUGUGGUGGAAAGAUUAGUUUCGGUAAGGGAUGAGCUCGCGGCCUAUCAGCUUGUUGGUGGGGUAAUGGCCUACCAAGGCGUCGACGGGUAGCCGGCCUGAGAGGGUGGACGGCCACAUUGGGACUGAGAUACGGCCCAGACUCCUACGGGAGGCAGCAGUGGGGAAUAGUGCACAAUGGGCGCAAGCCUGAUGCAGCGACGCCGCGUGGGGGAUGAAGGCCUUCGGGUUGUAAACUCCUUUCAGCCAUGACGAAGCCCUUGUGGUGACGGUAGUGGUAGAAGAAGCACCGGCUAACUACGUG
rnacentral:rRNA from 1 species